UACAGAGGUCCCAAGCGUUACUGAGAAUCACUGGGUUUAAAGGGUGCGUAGGUGGUCCGUUAAGUCAGUUGUGAAAUCCCCGGGCUCAACCCGGGAACUGCUUCUGAUACUGGCGGACUUGAGGCCAGUAGGGGUCACUAGAACUGACGGUGGAGCGGUGAAAUGCGUAGAUAUCGUCAGGAAUGCCGGUGGUGAAGACGGGUGACUGGGCUGGUUCUGACACUGAGGCACGAAAGCGUGGGGAGCGAGCGGG
rnacentral:rRNA from 1 species